rnacentral:rRNA from 1 species
GAUGAACGCUGGCGGCGUGCCUAAUACAUGCAAGUCGAGCGAACAGAUGAGGAGCUUGCUCCUCUGACGUUAGCGGCGGACGGGUGAGUAACACGUGGAUAACCUACCUAUAAGACUGGGAUAACUUCGGGAAACCGGAGCUAAUACCGGAUAAUAUAUUGAACCGCAUGGUUCAAUAGUGAAAGACGGUUUUGCUGUCACUUAUAGAUGGAUCCGCGCCGCAUUAGCUAGUUGGUAAGGUAACGGCUUACCAAGGCAACGAUGCGUAGCCGACCUGAGAGGGUGAUCGGCCACACUGGAACUGAGACACGGUCCAGACGCCUACGGGAGGCAGCAGUAGGGAAUCUGCCGCAAUGGGCGAAAGCCUGACGGAGCAACGCCGCGUGAGUGAUGAAGGUCUUCGGAUCGUAAAACUCUGUUAUUAGGGAAGAACAAAUGUGUAAGUAACUAUGCACGUCUUGACGGUACCUAAGCAGAAAGCCACGGCUAACUACGU